rnacentral:rRNA from 1 species
CAACAAAUGCCCUGCUUCCAGGAAAAGCCUCUAAGCAUCAGGUAACAUCAAAUCGUACCCCAAACCGACACAGGUGGUCAGGUAGAGAAUACCAAGGCGCUUGAGAGAACUCGGGUGAAGGAACUAGGCAAAAUGGUGCCGUAACUUCGGGAGAAGGCACGCUGAUACGUAGGUGAAGCGACUUGCUCGUGGAGCUGAAAUCAGUCGAAGAUACCAGCUGG